rnacentral:rRNA from 1 species
AGAGUUUGAUCCUGGCUCAGGAUGAACGCUGGCUACAGGCUUAACACAUGCAAGUCGAGGGGAAACGACGGGGAAGCUUGCUUCCCCGGGCGUCGACCGGCGCACGGGUGAGUAACGCGUAUCCAACCUGCCUCUGACUGAGGGAUAACCCGUCGAAAGUCGGCCUAAUACCUCAUGGCAUCGUCUGCGGGCAUCCAACGACGAUUAAAGAUUUCAUCGGUCAGGGAUGGGGAUGCGUCUGAUUAGCUUGUUGGCGGGGUAACGGCCCACCAAGGCUACGAUCAGUAGGGGUUCUGAGAGGAAGGUCCCCCACAUUGGAACUGAGACACGGUCCAAACUCCUACGGGAGGCAGCAGUGAGGAAUAUUGGUCAAUGGGCGAGAGCCUGAACCAGCCAAGUAGCGUGCAGGAUGACGGCCCUAUGGGUUGUAAACUGCUUUUAUGCGGGGAUAAAGUGAGGGACGUGUCCUUCAUUGCAGGUACCGCAUGAAUAAGGACCGGCUAAUUCCGUGCCAGCAGCCGCGGUAAUACGGAAGGUCCGGGCGUUAUCCGGAUUUAUUGGGUUUAAAGGGAGCGUAGGCCGUGGAUUAAGCGUGUUGUGAAAUGCAGGUGCUCAACGUCUGCACUGCAGCGCGAACUGGUCCACUUGAGUGUGCACAACGCAGGCGGAAUUCGUCGUGUAGCGGUGAAAUGCUUAGAUAUGACGAAGAACUCCGAUUGCGAAGGCAGCUUGCGGGAGCACAACUGACGCUGAAGCUCGAAAGUGCGGGUAUCGAACAGGAUUAGAUACCCUGGUAGUCCGCACGGUAAACGAUGGAUGCCCGUUGUCAGGCUGUUUCAGCCUGGUGACCAAGCGAAAGCAUUAAGCAUCCCACCUGGGGAGUACGCCGGCAACGGUGAAACUCAAAGGAAUUGACGGGGGCCCG